rnacentral:rRNA from 1 species
UCAAGAAACUUCCACAAUGGGCGAAAGCCUGAUGGAGCGACGUCGCGUGAUGGACGAAGUGCUUCGGCACGUAAAUAUCUUUUAUGUGGGAUGAAAUUAUUGACAGUACCACAUGAAUAAGGGGCUCCUAACUCUGUGCCAGCAGGAGCGGUAAUACAGAGGCCCCAAGCGUUAUCCGGAAUCACUGGGCGUAAAGGGUGUCGAGGCGGUUGUAUUAGUCGUUCGUAAAAUCUACGAGCUUAACUUGUAGGCGGCGAACGAAACGGUACGACUUGAGGUUUGGAGAGGUGCGUGGAACUCACGGUGUAGGGGUGAAAUCCGUUGAUAUCGUGGGGAACACCAAAGGCGAAGGCAGCGCACUGGCCAAAAUCUGACGCUCACACACGAAAGCUAGGGUAGCGAAGAGGAUUAGAUACCCUCGUAGUCCCUGAGCGGGCUGGCAAGGCGCAU